AGCGAACGCUGGCGGCGUGCCUAACACAUGCAAGUCGAACGUGAAAGGGAGCAAUCCCAAGUAAAGUGGCGUACGGGUGAGUAACGCGUAGGUAAUCUACCCCAGAAUCUGGAAUAACCGGCCGAAAGGCUGGCUAAUACUGGAUAGAGCGACGGAAUCCGUAAUUGGGUUUUUCGGGAAAGGGAGCCUGUAAAAAGGCCUUCGUUCUGGGAUGAGCCUGCGUCCCAUCAGCUAGUUGGUGAGGUAAAAGCUUACCAAGGCAAUGACGGGUAGCUGGUCUGAGAGGACGAUCAGCCACACUGGAACUGGAACACGGUCCAGACUCCUACGGGAGGCAGCAGUGGGGAAUCUUGCGCAAUGGACGAAAGUCUGACGCAGCAACGCCGCGUGAGUGAAGAAGGCCUUCGGGUUGGAAAGCUCUGUCGAGUGGGACGAAAUUGCUUGGAGUUCACAGCUCCAGGAACUGACGGUACCACUAAAGGAAGCACCGGCUAACUCCGUG
rnacentral:rRNA from 1 species